rnacentral:rRNA from 1 species
GACGAACGCUGGCGGCGUGCUUAACACAUGCAAGUCGAACGAAGAGCGAUGGAAGCUUGCUUCUAUCAAUCUUAGUGGCGAACGGGUGAGUAACGCGUAAUCAACCUGCCCUUCAGAGGGGGACAACAGUUGGAAACGACUGCUAAUACCGCAUACGAUCUGACCUCGGCAUCGAGGAUAGAUGAAAGGUGGCCUCUAUUUAUAAGCUAUCACUGAAGGAGGGGAUUGCGUCUGAUUAGCUAGUUGGAGGGGUAACGGCCCACCAAGGCGAUGAUCAGUAGCCGGUCUGAGAGGAUGAACGGCCACAUUGGGACUGAGACACGGCCCAGACUCCUACGGGAGGCAGCAGUGGGGAAUCUUCCGCAAUAGACGAAAGUCUGACGGAGCAACGCCGCGUGAGUGAUGACGGCCUUCGGGUUGUAAAGCUCUGUUAAUCGGGACGAAAGGCCUUCUUGCGAAUAGUUAGAAGGAUUGACGGUACCGGAAUAGAAAGCCACGGCUAACUACGUG